rnacentral:rRNA from 1 species
AUUGAACGCUGGCGGCAGGCCUAACACAUGCAAGUCGAGCGGAUGAAGGGAGCUUGCUCCUGGAUUCAGCGGCGGACGGGUGAGUAAUGCCUAGGAAUCUGCCUGGUGGUGGGGGAUAACGUCCGGAAACGGGCGCUAAUACCGCAUACGUCCUGAGGGAGAAAGUGGGGGAUCUUCGGACCUCACGCUAUCAGAUGAGCCUAGGUCGGAUUAGCUAGUUGGUGGGGUAAAGGCCUACCAAGGCGACGAUCCGUAACUGGUCUGAGAGGAUGAUCAGUCACACUGGAACUGAGACACGGUCCAGACUCAUACGGGAGGCAGCAGUGGGGAAUAUUGGACAAUGGGCGAAAGCCUGAUCCAGCCAUGCCGCGUGUGUGAAGAAGGUCUUCGGAUUGUAAAGCACUUUAAGUUGGGAGGAAGGGCAGUAAGUUAAUACCUUGCUGUUUUGACGUUACCAACAGAAUAAGCACCGGCUAACUUCGUG